AAAUGUUGCCUUCCACUGAGUCCAUUUUCCAAACAGACCUUGAUCAGUCUAGCUCCCCCAAGGCCUCAGCCUUCUGCGCUAUGGGGGCUGGCUCCUGAGGACAUGGACACAUCUGUAACCAAACCGGUAUGUUGGAGGCAGAGAGUGAGUGGUGUGCUCGGCAGUGCUGAACACUGGAACCUGUGUUCUGCUGAAGGGGGGAGCAUUCAGAAGUGGCAGCGUCUGCAGAGAGAGCUCUUUCAGAAUUGAGCAGCUUCCUCCCACCAAACUCAAGGUGCUGAUUUCCAAAACAAAAAACAAAACAAAACAAAACAAAACAAAAAAACAACUGCCAAUGGCUAUGCUCUGUGGAGCAGGACAUCCCCACAGGUGACUCCUAUCACACUCUAUCCGGCAUCCCAUAGACUGUACACUCCUAUGGGAGCAGGGACCCCCAGCUAUUUUGCUCAAUCUUUUUUUCCCACAUCACUGAGCUCAGAACCUGGAAAUCCCCAAUAAGUACUUGCUGAAUGAAUACAUAAAUGAACCAUAUCCAGAAGCUAAUGGGGAACUACAAAAAGAAGUUAUAUAAACUAGUGACAUGUUCUUUCCUUUCUUUAUUACUUCACCUGGAAACAUAAUUCUGGUAGCAGUGGGGACAUGGAUCAAAGAAUAAUUGAGUUAACGUGGCCAUGCAGGAGGGUAUUGUAAUAAUUCGAGGACUGAUAAGGGUGUAAAAUAAGGUGAUGCAAAGGAUACUACAGGUGGGUAGUUUUGAUGACUGAUUGGGUAUAAGCUGGGGAGUGAUGGACUGAAAGAAGUUGAGGAUUGCUUUCUGAGUUCUGCUUUUGUAUUUCUGAUCAAAAUAAGGCAUGUGGAAUAAGAAACAGUUUCUAAAGGAAUACCAUGAGUCCAAUUUUGGAAAUGUUGUACUAAAUUUGUAAAAGUAUGGUGGGGAGACCCUCACUGGGCACUCAUUGCAUGAGGUCUGGAACUGACACAGUAGACAUUAUUGCUGACUCCCAACACCUAUUCCACUCCUCUCUCAAUGUGACUUGGGAAAUUGACUUCUCAAAGAUGGGCCUUAGUGAUAUAAAAGUACUGAUCUAUAAGUAAUCUUACUUGCCAGUAACUGGUUCAGGACUAGGCAUGUGAUCUGAUUUCCUAUAAGUGAAAGUCACAAGAGGCUUCUGGGAAAGGUGUGAGAAUCCAGGUUUUCUCUCCUCCAGUGGAUUUCGAUGAGGAAGCCUGCAGUCCUGGUGAUCCUGACAACUUCCCUACAGCUGCAAAGGUACCCAGACACAGGAUUAGGUCAACCCUGUGGACAGCAGAGUGGAGACAGAGAGAAUCUGUUUCCUUGAGGACAUUGUUGAGUCUGUGUAGCAGCCAUCCUGGAAGCUUAUACCACUUCUGGACUGUGUCUUCCAGGAGCAUUUCUGUAUCUUUUGUGAUCAUUUGGGUGUGGAUUUUGUUAACAACAAUUGAAAAUAUCUUAACUGAAACAGCUACAGGUAUACAUUUUGUGGUCACCAGACAGUGGGGAACAGGUAAAGCCAGGGAAUUUAAAGAGAUUACCUGGGGAGAGUGAAAAAAGGAUGGUGUUCUGGGCACCUUACACUUAUGAUUGGAUCCAAUUCUGAAUUCUAGCCAAUGACUCAAGAUUAUUUUGUUUUUGCUUUUAGUCAAACAGUCUCCCUGAGUUUAUCCUUCGACAGGUAGGCUUAUGACCCUAACCAUUCUUAAAAUCACUUAACCUUUCUGUGUUUCAAUGAGCUCAACUGUGAAUUAGGGGUAUACAUUCAGCCUGUCUAUCCAGAUGGGCAGACUCAGGUUUUCUUAAAAUUCCAAGCAUACACAAUCUUGAGAGGCUCUCUUAAAAAUUGGGUACAGAGCCUUGGAAGGAACAAGUGCUCAUAAGAAACCCUAAAACUUCAAGGUAGAUCUUCCUCUGCUUGACUUCAGGGUUACUGUGUGGAGUGAGUGAGACAAAACAUGUGAUGUGCUUGGCACAUGUUAACUGCUCAAUAAAGUUUAGCUGGCAUGAUUGAGGAUAAUUUAAUACACAAUUUAGAUGUAGAUGAUAGAGGUACACAAAUAUAUACACUUAUUGAACUUUUACAUUGCUAGUUUUAGCUGUGCCCAUCACUUCUGAGCAGAGUGCUUCCCCUCACUCUGUCCGUAGGGCCGACUUAGCCGCCGUGGGCAACAGAGUCUUGAUUCACAAUACUUUUAGGAGCACGCAAAAAUGUUUCUAUGUCUUUUAAAGUCAGAAGAAAAAAACUUUUAGGUUGAAAAACACUUUAAUACACAAUAGAAGUAUUUUCAUCUUUAUCCCAAUGUAGUAGCGAAAUCUAAUCUUUAAUAUUUUCUUAGGAAGAGCCCACAGAACAAAAGUUCCCAGGGCUCACAAAAGUCUGAAUGCAACUCUGCUGUCUAAUUCUCCCAUUUGUGUUGCUUUUUUUUCUCUUUCCAUUAUUUUCCCACCUUCAUCUCUUUCCAGCCCCUCCCUAUGCUUUACCAUUUACUUAUUAUUAUUCUCCCACCUCUAACAUUUUGUGGCCUAUAUGCAUAUGACUCUUAAAAUGAAAAAAUAAAAACCCAGCAUUUUCCUUGGGUUAACUUUUCUUUCCUGUCUCAGCUGUUUAAUUCUGCAGGUUAUCAAUUUACAGAGUGAAGACACAUAAUCCCUUUUAGAAUGAAAGACUAAGAAUAGAGAGUUUGAGACACACCUUCUGAAACAGCAGCUUCUUGAAAACCCGAUUCCCAGCAGAGUGUUGCUGCUCUGCAUUUUUCACACUGGAACGUGGUGAAAACGAUGAACAUUAAUUAGGAUUACAGAGACUCAGAGGCUUACCGCGCUAUGACAGCUUAGAAGAAAGAAUGACACUUCUAUUUUUUGGAUGCAAGUCUAAGUGUCAUGUGUGUUUUAAUUCUUGGGCUCAAGCCAAGUUACUAUAGCGGUGAGAUGCAGACUAUUAUUUUUAGGUCAUAUUAUGUAGGGGUGUAGACUAUUAUUUUAGAUUAAGAGGGAGGUGGGUUUGGCUGAUUUUAGAUGAUCAAGUUUCCUAUUAUGAACCUUCCUUCAAAAACUAAUUUUGAAAUGUUAUCAUUUAUAGUUUAUGCUUAUAAAGAACUUAAUGUUGGAAGCAUUCCUUAGUUCAAGGAGAUUUCACGCCUGAGUAAUUUUCAAGUUUUAUUGUUUUCCAGCUUACUUGCCUUACUUAGGAUCCCCACUGCUUCUUACAUUUCAUAAAUAAAUGAGUUAAAGAAAAAAGCAGACACGACAAAAACAAACCAAUGCUUAACUCCCUCUUCCAACAACCCCAUGUCCUAAGGGAGAUAUACAUAAAAUAAGAAAUAAAGUGGAGUCACCCCUUUCAUGACAGAAACCUCUUUCCUCAAAAACGUCUGGCUUUCUUAAAUCCAUUCCUGGUUUUAACCAAAGAGAAAGUUGCACUAGGAAAUAUGAUGGAUUGGUCACUUCUAGGCCAUCAUUUGGGAGGAAAUUGCCACAGAAUUUGCAUGACAGAAUAGAAAAUUGGUACAAGUAAAUUAAUGACUGUAUUCACAGAUGUAAAAGGGAAUAGGAAAAUAUUACAAUGGGGAGUAAAAUUAAAUCUUCAGGGGGAAUCAAAGUAUCAUGGAAAAACAAGAUAUGAGCAUUGUCUUUUUAUGUGUUAGGAAUUGAAAUGUUAAGUUUGAGAAAAUCUGUGCCAUGUAGCAACUGGAACACGGCAGUAUAGGUACUGCAGCUAACGAAGAGACAGAUGCUGCAUAAUGAAAAAGGAACAGGAGUCAGAUAGACAGAAAAAUAGUUCGGAGAUACAGAUUAUUUAGAAAUUAUUUAAAUAUAUUAGAAAGAAGGAGAUGGUAAAAUAAUCAAAUGCAGAGCAAUAAAGCAGGGGAAACACCAUAAGAGAUGAAGAAGGAGACAAAACAAUUCGACAAGAGAGAAAAGAUGAAGAGGUAGAAUGAGAGCAAGCACUAGGCAUUGGUUCUGUAAUGACCUGUUUCUCAUGAAAAAUGCAUUAUCCUAGAGGGGAAUGAUUUUUCUCCUCCCUCACAAUACUUUGAUUUGUGUGUCUACAACACACCAAGCCCACUGGGAUGCUGCCAAUGGAUUCAGAGCUUCCAGAAUCAUCAACCAGAGACUGCUGUUCCAGACACCAAAUGCAGUGUAAAUAAUUAAAUAUCAAUGCAAGUCAACUAACAUUUACUGAGUGUGGUCUCCCAGAAUGAAGCACACAUCCACAUUCUGACAGAAGUUUAAGGUCUU